rnacentral:sRNA from 1 species
UGUGAGAGAAUUGAAAUUGUCUCUCUGCUUGAGAGCCUUUCUCACCGUCUUGUGUGAGUAGUUGCAAUUUCGUCAAUAUUCCUUGUCCUUAGUUGCGGGAGCCUUUCUCACCGGCUUCAUGGCUGGUUUUUUCCAGCUUGAGGUUGCCAUUGAAGAGUUGUUCUUAGCUGCUGGAGCUGAUCAGAUGAAAAGACAUAUUUACACUCCUUGCCCACACGUUAUCAUUGUUGCACCUUCUGCUUGGACAAAUCGCUGUUCACCUGUCUGGCCUCAAGUAGUCUUUCUAGAAAAAAAGAACCCCGCAUGUCAUCCCUUUUCUCUUUUUGCAAUUUUGCAAGAAAUAAAAAACGUGAAUCCCGUCCCGGUUCAAAGAAAAUUCCUUAAGCGGCUUUAAUUUCACGAAAGCGAAUCCCAUGAGGGAGAUCAAGGUCCAGAAGCUGGUCCUCAACAUCUACAUCGAUGAGAGCGCAGAUCGACUCACGAGAGCCGCCAAGGUGUUGCAGCAACUUAGUGGCCAAACACCUGUUUUCUCCAAAGAGCAAUUCUUGGAGUUGCAAGCUUACCAGCUACAAAAAUGAAAUUUAUUGAAAAAAUCUGGAGAGAAGGGCCUCCUAAAUUAUUAUGACCACCGGAAGCAGUAAAUCCUUUUGGUUGCAUAAUGAAAGGGACUGCCUUUGGAUGUCGCUAAUAUUUAGUGGUGUCAGUGUUGUAGUGUGAACAAAAAAAUAAUUUUAUUUUUUCUCUACCAAAUAUUAUGAUGAAUUUUAUGUAAAUGAUGUCUUAAUUGUACAAAUCUAUGCUAUUCUACACAUUUGGGCUGUUUUUUUUUUGUUGGAUACAUUUGGGGUGUUAAAAAUUAAAAUUGGUAUUGUUUAUACUUGCAUUUCUUUAUUAAUCAGAUGCAGAUCAG